AAAUUGAAGAGUUUGAUCAUGGCUCAGAUUGAACGCUGGCGGCAGGCCUAACACAUGCAAGUCGAACGGUAACAGGAAGAAGCUUGCUUCUUUGCUGACGAGUGGCGGACGGGUGAGUAAUGUCUGGGAAACUGCCUGAUGGAGGGGGAUAACUACUGGAAACGGUAGCUAAUACCGCAUAACGUCGCAAGACCAAAGAGGGGGACCUUCAGGCCUCUUGCCAUCGGAUGUGCCCAGAUGGGAUUAGCUAGUAGGUGGGGUAAUGGCUCACCUAGGCGACGAUCCCUAGCUGGUCUGAGAGGAUGACCAGCCACACUGGAACUGAGACACGGUCCAGACUCCUACGGGAGGCAGCAGUGGGGAAUAUUGCACAAUGGGCGCAAGCCUGAUGCAGCCAUGCCGCGUGUAUGAAGAAGGCCUUCGGGUUGUAAAGUACUUUCAGCGGGGAGGAAGGGAGUAAAGUUAAUACCUUU
rnacentral:rRNA from 1 species